rnacentral:ncRNA from 1 species
UUUAUGGCGAGUUUGAUCCUGGCUCAGAGCGAACGCUGGCGGCGUACUUAACACAUGCAAGUCGAACGAGGAUCGCGGUGUGAGCAAUCAUAUCGCGGUCCUAGUGGCGUACGGGUGAGUAACACGUGGGUAACCUGCCCUUGAGACCGGGAUACCCUUUCGAAAGGGAGGCUAAUACCGGAUACGUUCCCUGGGUCGCGAGAUCUGGGGAGGAAAGGCGGCGCAAGCUGCCGCUCUUGGAGGGGCUCGCGACCUAUCAGCUAGUUGGUGAGGUAACGGCUCACCAAGGCUAUGACGGGUAGCUGGUCUGAGAGGACGACCAGCCACACGGGGACUGAGACACGGCCCCGACUCCUACGGGAGGCAGCAGUGGGGAA